ensembl:lncRNA
CGAGAAUCCCAUGGGACUGCGUAAAAGAGGGUAAAAUUGUCCCUGAGACUCGUGUCCGCAGAGGGCUGAGAUGCUGGUCAAGGGCCUGGGGUCACAGAUCUAACCUGCCUUCCCUGGGGAGCCUGAAACCGAGAUCUGGAGGGCGAGUAAGAUAUGUAAAGAGAUGACGACGGAAUUCCCGACAUGCUGUGGUGGCGACAAACCCAACUAGUAUCGCUGAGGACGCAGGUUCAAUCCCUGGCCCCGCUCAGUGGGUUAGGAUCCGGCGUUGCUGUGGGCUGUGGUGUAGGUCGCAGAUGUGGCUCGGAUCUGGCGCUGCUGUGGCUGGGGUGUAGGUCGGCAGCUGCAGCUCCGAUUCGACCCCUAGCCUGGGAACUUCCAUAUGCCGUAGGUGUGGCCCUAAGUUUUUUUUAAAAAAAUUAAAAAUGAAAUCAAAAGCUGGUGAGAACAUUCUAGGCAGAAAGAAACCGCAGAGCCCUGUGCAGGUGGCUCAGGUUGAGUGUGGCCGGGGAGAGAGGAUGGAGGGACUGGGAGAGGUGUGCAGCCCUCCUGUGUCCCUUGGGCCACGUUACAGAGCUUGGCGUCAUCCUAAGAGCAGGGGGACCAUGACAAGUGCUGGGGGGAUUGUGUAGGGUGGGAAUGGUACCAUAUCUGCCAAAACCCCCAUUCUCUUGGGCACAGAGAGCAGUUGGAAGGAGAGUCAGCCUGGAUGUGAUAGAACAGCUCAGCAGUCCUGCUGGUACCCAGGCCAGGAACAGCACCAGCCUGGACUGUGAAGGGGAUGGUUGACGUGGAGAGAAACAGGCAGUGCUCAGGGGUCCAUGUGACCAAGUGUUGGGGAUCAGAGGAAGGGAGGUACCCAGGAUGGCUGCUAAGUUCUGCACCCCAAAGUAACAAUAUAGCCCAACUUUGGUGAAACCGUACCCUGCUCAUGUUUCGGAAUUGGUCCCCAGGCUGCCCCGAUCGACUGCAAAGUUUGGUUUUUCAUGAGACAUGGCAUCAAAUCAAGACCUAACUUUUAAAAUUUGCCUCGUACAUUGAACAACAGAAUGAGCCAUCUGAGCAUGAACAUCUGACAACUUCAAUAGUUUUCCUUUUCAAAAUGGAAAUCACAACUCUUCCCCAAUGUACAGAGUUCGACUUCACAAUUCACCGAAAUUAAUCAACGACAAAAAGAAGCUUCCUAGUAGUAGCUGGAGGAAAUUAACAUCAGCAGCAGUAUUUGAUGGCAUAAGAGGUCUUUUGCAGUGUAUGAUCAGUUCCUUAAUUGGUAGCAUUUUUACAAAGAUUUUUAUUGCAGAAUAAGCUUAUCAUGAACAGGAAAUGACACAGACCUUUUACCCGUUUUUGGGUUUUCAGAAAAAUGUGUUUGUAUGGGCAGUUUUCUGAAAUGAGUCCGUAUGAUACAUGCAUGUAUAAUAAUAAUAGGUACAUGAGGGAAUUCCCGUCGUGGCGCAGUGGAAACAAAUCCGACUAGGAACCAUGAGGUUGCGGGGUCGAUCCCCGGCCUUGCUCAGUCGGUUAAGGAUCCAGCGUUGCUGUGAGCAGUACUCUAGGUCGCAGGGGCAGCUUGGAUCCCUUGUGGCUGUGGCUGUGGCUCUGGUGUAGGCAGUUGUAGCUCCAAUUCGACCCCUAGCCUGGGAACUUCCAUGUGCUGCGGGUGCGGCCCUAAAAAGCAAAAAA